UUACGUCCAUAUUACGUUGAAAUACCGGUUCCCGUACGACCACCGAAGUAAAGCAACGUCGAGCCUGGGUAGGACCUAGAUUGGUGAACACUUGGGAAUAAGAGGUUCUGUAA